GCCCCUGUGGUGAAAUUGGUAGACGCGUCCGACUCAAAAUCGGAUUCCGAGAGGAGUGCUGGUUCGAGCCCGGCCAGGGGCACCA
rnacentral:tRNA from 5 species